rnacentral:lncRNA from 1 species
UUAGGUAGCUUUUACGAUAAGGCGCGAAACGAGCACCGCCCUUGAAGUGAAACGACAGCUGCGGCAGCUUGCUAUCGUCGAACUUGCUGGUAUCAAAACAAUACUCCAUUGGUAGUCCUUCUGGUUUGACUCUUUUCAAGCCGACAAGGUGACGCUCUAGCCCCGACACAACCGCCUUGUACGCUACAUCAGCCAAGAACGUGAGGCUGCUUCCUGAGUCCAAGAUGGUCCCACCACCUUUUCUUACCUCCCACACUACGGGAGGGAUGUUGAGCAUGGUAUUUCCGAUGGAGAUUCCGACGAUGCUGACGGCGUAGAAGGGAGGGAGAAGAUUGAGUUCAAGCCGAGCGGUUCGUCUUGCGGGGGGUUUGAGGGUAGACGUGGGGUUAGAACCGAAGGUGAGAUAGUUGGAGAUGUUUUUGUUGGAAGUAUGGUCAACGAGGCAGUAUGAGAAUUUGGCUCCGAAGAUGUUAGUGGCUUUUGCAGUGAAGGACUGAUCGCUAAAGGCUAGACCAAGAACACCGUCCGAUGCACGGAGGCUGUCACCUUUUGUGGAGCUGCUGCAGCCAAUGAGUAGGCCAGGGAUACUAGUAGGGCUGCCGUUGGUGAGGCCAAGUGUGAAUGUAUCCGUAGCGAAUACACCUUGUGCUGUUGACCCAUCUGCGUAUCUGUUUCACACGAUCCAAAUUAGUAUUAGUAAGAAUGCAUAAACAUGGAAUAUUUGCAUUAGGUUUAACUAUUACAAUAAGAGAGGCUAGAGUUUUAUCUAUUACUCAAAAGGCAAACCUAACUCACAAGUUACAAUAAGUGACAUUUAUGUAUUGUAAUGAAUAGUAACAAGACAUUUAAUUUCACAUCUUAUCCCUUACAUACACUUGCAUCUAAAUCUAUGCCUCCAGCAAGUUCUCUAGAUAGUUGGAGAAAACAGCGAGAAGGAUGCGGUAAUAAUAGAGAGAGGUCCCUCUUCUUCUCUCAUUCAUGACCAUCACCAUCAUUUCCUCUUUGGCAUAUAACCACUACAUAUUUAAGCAACAUUGUUAUACUAAGCAUCUCCUGAUUAGACUCUACCUAAUCACAUUUUGACUACGGAUCUAUAUUGUAAUCACCACCACGAAAUGAAACACACACACAAUACCUCUUUGGUAUAUAAGUCAUAACAAAUAAGCUAAUCAGAUUGUUUAUCCUUAAAUAAACUCUACAUAAUCACAUUUUGACUAUGGAUCAAGAAUGCAAUCACGACCAAUGAAAGAGAGAUUAUUUAUGUGACAUGUACCUGUAAUCAUAAGAGCAUGGAGAUUGAGGGGUAGGGCAAAUGGAGAGGGAGAAGAGGUUCAUCAAAUCAACCUUACAAGUCUUUGUCAUGCAUCCAACUGUUUUAAAACUCGACGACCCCUCUGCUCGAAAGACUUCACGGUUCUCCUUUCCUUUACCUUGGAACCUACAAUUAACCCACGUCAGCUCGCUCCCUGUGUCCACCACCACCCGGAACUUCUUCGCCGGCGUUCCGACCAUAAUCUCCGAGAAAUACUGCGCGGCUCGGAAGUCGAAACCUGAUCCCAGAGACAUUCUCGCUCCACUUUUGGUUGUUUUUAUUUUCUGAGAAAUGAGGCUGUGACGCCUCUUGUCCUCGCCGAAAAUGUCUUCAAUGCGAUGGUAAGGUGUAUGUAUCGGGGAGAGUGUGUCGCGGUGCGUCAUGUCGAGACGCAUCACCGUGUUGGAAUAUGCGGAGGCUAUUAGGAACAUCGUGAUGAGACAGAAGAGCAUUGUCAUUGGCUUCAUUUUCGUCCUCUUGUUCUGUUUUUUUUUUUGUUUGUUAUGCUCCUUUUUGGGUUGUCCGUUUCUAAAAGACUAGAACAGGGUAUUUAUAUACACUGACCAACACGUCUUUUUCUCUCUUCUUUUUAAAAUCAUUAUCUAAAACCUUAAAAUAUUUUGUAGUUUUUAGAAUUGUUUUAGUUUAGGAAAUAUACACUUCUAAUGCAAGAUCAAACUCCCACAAAUGUUUCUGCUGCAUUAUAUUCCCGAUGACAUUAGGAGCCGGAGCUCCGGCCGGCACAAACCCUAAACACCUGAUUCCUGGAGAAGCAGUAGCUAUUAGGUAGCUUUUACGAUAAGGCGCGAAACGAGCACCGCCCUUGAAGUGAAACGACAGCUGCGGCAGCUUGCUAUCGUCGAACUUGCUGGUAUCAAAACAAUACUCCAUUGGUAGUCCUUCUGGUUUGACUCUUUUCAAGCCGACAAGGUGACGCUCCAGCCCCGACACAACCGCCUUGUACGCCGCAUCAGCCAAGAACGUGAGGCUGCUUCCUGAGUCCAAGAUGGUCCCACCACCUUUUCUUACCUCCCACACUACGGGAGGGAUGUUGAGCAUGGUAUUUCCGAUGGAGAUUCCGACGAUGCUGACGGCGUAGAAGGGAGGGAGAAGAUUGAGUUCAAGCCGAGCGGUUCG